AGUGCCGCAGCUAACGCAUUAAGCACUCCGCCUGGGGAGUACGACCGCAAGGUUGAAACUCAAAGGAAUUGACGGGGGCCCGCACAAGCGGUGGAGCAUGUGGUUUAAUUCGAAGCAACGCGAAGAACCUUACCAGGUCUUGACAUCCNNAUGCCCGCUCUAGAGAUAGAGUUUUNNUUCGGUACANNGGUGACAGGUGGUGCAUGGUUGUCGUCAGCUCGUGUCGUGAGAUGUUGGGUUAAGUCCCGCAACGAGCGCAACCCUUAUUGUUAGUUGCCAUCAUUCAGUUGGGCACUCUAGCGAGACUGCCGGUAAUAAACCGGAGGAAGGUGGGGAUGACGUCAAAUCAUCAUGCCCCUUAUGACCUGGGCUACACACGUGCUACAAUGGCUGGUACAACGAGUCGCAAGUCGGUGACGGCAAGCUAAUCUCUUAAAGCCAGUCUCAGUUCGGAUUGUAGGCUGCAACUCGCCUACAUGAAGUCGGAAUC
rnacentral:rRNA from 1 species